rnacentral:rRNA from 1 species
GAUCCUGGCUCAGGAUGAACUCUGGCGGCGUGCCUAAUACAUGCAAGUCGAACGCUUUGUGGUUCAACUGAUUUGAAGAGCUUGCUCAGAUAUGACGAUGGACAUUGCAAAGAGUGGCGAACGGGUGAGUAACACGUGGGAAACCUACCUCUUAGCAGGGGAUAACAUUUGGAAACAGAUGCUAAUACCGUAUAACAAUGGCAACCGCAUGGUUGUUAUUUAAAAGAUGGUUCUG